rnacentral:snoRNA from 10 species
UCCUGCAUCCGAAAGUGAUCAUAGGCUGCCUGUGCCUAGGUCAUUGAUAGUGCAGGGAGAGGAACGCUGAAAGAGGUUGUCCCCGUGUUUGGAGGGUCCACCCUAUCCCAUCCGAACCCUGAAGCUUUCACACA